GCCUGGGUGGCUCAGUCGGUUGAGCAUCUGACUUUGGCUCAGGUCAUAAUCUCUCAGCUCUUGGGUUCAAGCCCUGCGUCAGGCU
rnacentral:tRNA from 1 species